rnacentral:rRNA from 2 species
AUUGAACGCUGGCGGCAUGCCUUACACAUGCAAGUCGAACGGUAACGCGGGGCAACCUGGCGACGAGUGGCGAACGGGUGAGUAAUGCAUCGGAACGUGCCCAGUAGUGGGGGAUAGCCCGGCGAAAGCCGGAUUAAUACCGCAUACGACCUACGGGUGAAAGGGGGGGAUCGCAAGACCUCUCGCUAUCGGAGCGGCCGAUGUCAGAUUAGGUAGUUGGUGGGGUAAAAGCCUACCAAGCCAACGAUCUGUAGCUGGUCUGAGAGGACGACCAGCCACACUGGGACUGAGAGACGGCCCAGACUCCUACGGGAGGCAGCAGUGGGGAAUUUUGGACAAUGGGCGCAAGCCUGAUCCAGCCAUGCCGCGUGCGGGAAGAAGGCCUUCGGGUUGUAAACCGCUUUUGUCAGGGAAGAAAAGCUUCAAGCUAAUAUCUUGGGGUGAUGACGGUACCUGAAGAAUAAGCACCGGCUAACUACGUG